rnacentral:rRNA from 1 species
GAUGAACGCUGGCGGCGUGCCUAAUACAUGCAAGUCGAGCGAACAGACGAGGAGCUUGCUCCUCUGACGUUAGCGGCGGACGGGUGAGUAACACGUGGAUAACCUACCUAUAAGACUGGGAUAACUUCGGGAAACCGGAGCUAAUACCGGAUAAUAUAUUGAACCGCAUGGUUCAAUAGUGAAAGACGGUUUUGCUGUCACUUAUAGAUGGAUCCGCGCCGCAUUAGCUAGUUGGUAAGGUAACGGCUUACCAAGGCGACGAUGCGUAGCCGACCUGAGAGGGGGAUCGGCCACACUGGAACUGGGACACGGUCCAGACUCCUACGGGAGGCAGCAGUAGGGAAUGUUCCGCAAUGGGCGAAAGCCUGACGGAGCAACGCCGCGUGAGUGAUGACGGUCUUCGGAUCGUAAAACUCUGUUAUUAGGGAAGAACAAAUGUGUAAGUAACUAUGCACGUCUUGACGGUACCUAAUCAGAAAGCCACGGCUAACUACGUG